GUUAAGCGACUAAGCGUACACGGUGGAUGCCCUGGCAGUCAGAGGCGAUGAAGGACGUGCUAAUCUGCGAUAAGCGUCGGUAAGGUGAUAUGAACCGUUAUAACCGGCGAUUUCCGAAUGGGGAAACCCAGUGUGUUUCGACACACUAUCAUUAACUGAAUCCAUAGGUUAAUGAGGCGAACCGGGGGAACUGAAACAUCUAAGUACCCCGAGGAAAAGAAAUCAACCGAGAUUCCCCCAGUAGCGGCGAGCGAACGGGGAGCAGCCCAGAGCCUGAAUCAGUGUGUGUGUUAGUGGAAGCGUCUGGAAAGGCGCGCGAUACAGGGUGACAGCCCCGUACACAAAAAUGCACAUGCUGUGAGCUCGAUGAGUAGGGCGGGACACGUGGUAUCCUGUCUGAAUAUGGGGGGACCAUCCUCCAAGGCUAAAUACUCCUGACUGACCGAUAGUGAACCAGUACCGUGAGGGAAAGGCGAAAAGAACCCCGGCGAGGGGAGUGAAAAAGAACCUGAAACCGUGUACGUACAAGCAGUGGGAGCACGCUUAGGCGUGUGACUGCGUACCUUUUGUAUAAUGGGUCAGCGACUUAUAUUCUGUAGCAAGGUUAACCGAAUAGGGGAGCCGAAGGGAAACCGAGUCUUAACUGGGCGUUAAGUUGCAGGGUAUAGACCCGAAACCCGGUGAUCUAGCCAUGGGCAGGUUGAAGGUUGGGUAACACUAACUGGAGGACCGAACCGACUAAUGUUGAAAAAUUAGCGGAUGACUUGUGGCUGGGGGUGAAAGGCCAAUCAAACCGGGAGAUAGCUGGUUCUCCCCGAAAGCUAUUUAGGUAGCGCCUCGUGAAUUCAUCUCCGGGGGUAGAGCACUGUUUCGGCAAGGGGGUCAUCCCGACUUACCAACCCGAUGCAAACUGCGAAUACCGGAGAAUGUUAUCACGGGAGACACACGGCGGGUGCUAACGUCCGUCGUGAAGAGGGAAACAACCCAGACCGCCAGCUAAGGUCCCAAAGUCAUGGUUAAGUGGGAAACGAUGUGGGAAGGCCCAGACAGCCAGGAUGUUGGCUUAGAAGCAGCCAUCAUUUAAAGAAAGCGUAAUAGCUCACUGGUCGAGUCGGCCUGCGCGGAAGAUGUAACGGGGCUAAACCAUGCACCGAAGCUGCGGCAGCGACGCUUAUGCGUUGUUGGGUAGGGGAGCGUUCUGUAAGCCUGUGAAGGUGUGCUGUGAGGCAUGCUGGAGGUAUCAGAAGUGCGAAUGCUGACAUAAGUAACGAUAAAGCGGGUGAAAAGCCCGCUCGCCGGAAGACCAAGGGUUCCUGUCCAACGUUAAUCGGGGCAGGGUGAGUCGACCCCUAAGGCGAGGCCGAAAGGCGUAGUCGAUGGGAAACAGGUUAAUAUUCCUGUACUUGGUGUUACUGCGAAGGGGGGACGGAGAAGGCUAUGUUGGCCGGGCGACGGUUGUCCCGGUUUAAGCGUGUAGGCUGGUUUUCCAGGCAAAUCCGGAAAAUCAAGGCUGAGGCGUGAUGACGAGGCACUACGGUGCUGAAGCAACAAAUGCCCUGCUUCCAGGAAAAGCCUCUAAGCAUCAGGUAACAUCAAAUCGUACCCCAAACCGACACAGGUGGUCAGGUAGAGAAUACCAAGGCGCUUGAGAGAACUCGGGUGAAGGAACUAGGCAAAAUGGUGCCGUAACUUCGGGAGAAGGCACGCUGAUAUGUAGGUGAAGUCCCUCGCGGAUGGAGCUGAAAUCAGUCGAAGAUACCAGCUGGCUGCAACUGUUUAUUAAAAACACAGCACUGUGCAAACACGAAAGUGGACGUAUACGGUGUGACGCCUGCCCGGUGC
rnacentral:rRNA from 1 species